rnacentral:tRNA from 1 species
GAGGAUGUGGCUCCGUGGCUGAGCAUUUGCUUGACAAGCAGAAAGGCCCAGGUUCAGUCUCUGGCAUCUAUAUCCA